GAUGAAGAACGUAGCGAAAUGCGAUACUUGGUGUGAAUUGCAGAAUCCCGUGAACCAUCGAGUCUUUGAACGCAAGUUGCGCCCGAAGCCACUAGGCCGAGGGCACGCCUGCCUGGGCGUCACACGCCGUUGCCCCCCCAUCUACUCCUUCGGGAUUGCGGGGGGGCGGAUGAUGGCCUCCUGUGCGCCUAGCCGCGCGGUUGGCAUAAAUACCAAGUCCUCGGCGACGCACGCCACGACAAUCGGUGGUUGCGAAACCUCGGUUGCCCGUCGUGUGCGUUCGUCGCGCAUCGAGGGCUCGAAAAAAUGCUCGGCUCCGGCUGGGCUUUCAACGCGACCCCAGGUCAGGCGGGGUUACCCGCUGAAUUUAAGCAUAUCAGCGGAGGA
rnacentral:misc_RNA from 1 species